GUACGAUGGCAAAGUAUGUUCGUGUUUCUCCUUUUUAUCCUAAUAUAGUGGUGGAAAAAGGUCCAGCGUCAGCCUUGAAAGUAAUACUUACGACUUACAUUACGGCAAAUUCAGAGGAAAAAUAAUAGAAUAUGCCUGUUGUAUGUCAGUCCAUGAGGAUUAGCAGAGCAGCAUCAAGAAAACUUUAUUAGAACUCAUUCUAACAACUUACUAAAAACAACUUCUGAUGUAUUGACAAUAAAAAGAGAAAUUCUUUAA